rnacentral:rRNA from 1 species
CCUACGGGUGGCAGCAGUGGGGAAUAUUGCACAAUGGGGGAAACCCUGAUGCAGCGACGCCGCGUGAGUGAAGAAGUAUUUCGGUGCGUAAAGCUCUAUCAGCGGGGAAGAAAAUGACGGUACCUGACUAAUAAGCCCCGGCCAACUACGUUCCAGCCGCCGGGGUAAUACGUAGGGGGCAGGCGUUAUCCGGAUUUACUGGGUGGAAAGGGAGCGUAGACGGCAGCGGAAGCCUGAAGGGAAAUCCCAUGGCUUAACCAUGGAACUGCUGUGGAAACUGUGCAGCUGGAGUGCAGGAGAGGUAAGCGGAAGUCCUAGUGUAGCGGUGAAAUGCGUAGAUAUUAGGAGGAACACCGGUGGCGAAGGCGGCUUACUGGACCGUAACUGACGUUGAGGCUCGAAAGCGUGGGGAGCGAACAGGAUUAGAUACCCUUGUAGUC